rnacentral:rRNA from 1 species
UACGAAGGGGGCGAGCGUUGUUCGGAUUUACUGGGCGUAAAGGGCGCGUAGGCGGCCCUCCUUGUCGCGUGUGAAAGCCCCGGGCUCAACCUGGGAAUUGCGUGCGAAACGGGGGGGGCUUGAGUUCGGGAGAGGAGCGUGGAAUUCCCAGUGUAGAGGUGAAAUUCGUAGAUAUUCGCAAGAACACCAAGUGGCGAAGGCGGCU